rnacentral:rRNA from 1 species
CGAAGAUAAGACGGAUUAGCGGCGGACGGGUGAGUAACACGUGAGUAACCUGCCUUUUACACAGGGAUAGCCUCGGGAAACCGGGAUUAAAACCUGAUGAAACUAUCAAAUCACAUGAUUAAGAAAGUUAAAACUCCGGUGGUAAAAGAUGGACUCGCGUCCCAUUAGCUAGUUGGUGAAGGUAACGGCCCACCAAGGCAACGAUGGGUAGCCGGCCUGAGAGGGUGAACGGCCACAUUGGAACUGAGAAACGGUCCAAACUCCUACGGGAGGCAGCAGUA